UUCCUCAUAGUUAAGUUGGAUAUAACAGGAACCUCCUAAGUUUCAGUCAUGGGUUCGAAUCCCGUUGAGGAAGCCA
rnacentral:tRNA from 1 species